ACGCUGUCAAAAGUUGAACCAUUUUGCAAAAUGGUGCCGCUCCACACCCACUGACGCAUCAGCGCAACAACGUGCUUACGACAGCCACAACACACAGGCAGCGAUACAUAGAGUGGGGCCCCACUCAGAGAACUUUACUAUACGUCUUCUCUACCUGGAAGAGAGCUGCGUCCACGCUCUCUUUGACACCGGUGCCAAGGUGUAUUUGCUAAAUGCAGCAAGAUACAAUCAGUUCUUCCAGCACAUGCCACUGCAGCCUAUAUGUGGGUCUGAUGGUUGCGCCACUUACCUGCUGCUGUUUGAUGGUUAUCUUUUGGAUCGUGUCAUACCGAUAAACAUCGAAAGUGCCUACCAAGCCUGAGACCUCACUGCACGUCACUGAUUUCACAGCAACUGCAGGAUCAAGAUUGAGCCUCCUGGAUCCACACUCCGGCACAGCCACGCCGAAACCACACACGUUACCGCUACAGCCACAGACAGCUAACUACCAAUUGAACAGAACCAGCGAUGAAGGAUGAGAAGAAGACGAAUAGAAAGAGACGUAAAGAAGCAGAGGCCAUGUAUACUCCACAGGGCCCGUCGCCUCCUAGGCCUCCGGUGCCCUUGUCCAAACCUUGAGUGUGUGUUGAAGUGUGGAGGUGAACGUAAUUGAAGACGAGGCCAAGAAUUGCUGUAGUAGCAUUAUUGUAGCUAGCUGGUGGUAGAAUUACUGGUGUGUGCGUUUGUGUGUGCAUGUUCCUUGACUAGCGGAGCUUGUGAGAACUAGAACGACAGUGGGUUUUAGAUUAUGUUCUUAAUUGAAUGGUUUCUUUCUUUUGUGGUACCCUUACUAUUUUGAUUUGGUUUAGUCCUGACGAUUUAAGACCGAUAUAGUUAUUCAUGAUCCAGCCACCAUGCUGUCACCAGUUUUCUCUGUCUUGCAGUUCUUAUGUGGAUGUUGUGGGUGGCCUUGACGCGACUCCCCUAGAACUUUGAACUCUCGCCAUGGCCCAUUCCUCAAGUGCACUACUGCUAAUCUGCACUAUAGGCCUAAACUACUGUGGGAGCCUCAACCAAGGACGUAUCUUUGUUGUAUUUUACAAUGUCUCUUAAUUGUUUUAUUGUUCACUUUGUUAUUUUCAUUGUUAUUUUAAAAUACUUUGUACAAUUAUAAAGAGACCAUAGUCUGUAUUGUAUGGUUAGGCAGAGCUCCCCAUGCUCUGGUUUAAACCUGGGGUGGCGUAGAAUCGGCAACAAUUAUUUUCUCUACCGCCUCGCGGGUGUUCUUUCUCCUGAGAUUUUCAUAUCACCUUUAACCCAUAACAGUCUAAGCCCUGUCUAAGCCGGUGGGGAGGGGGGGGGGCGUUCUACUAAGCUAUAUGGAAUUGUUUUAAGAAGGUCAUACCAAGGUUCAUUUUGCUAUUGGAUAUACAAUUUUAAGUAUAAAAAAAUAUAUGUAUUUGAUGAACAUAUUUAUUUGGCCUUACUGCUAUUAGCCCAUACAAAUGCAUUGAAUAACAUAUUCACUACAUGGAACAACAUAUAGUACCCCCAAAAAAGUUUGUUCUGAAGUGUCUGUCUUAUAUGUGACCUUGAUUCGGUCUUAUGUAGUAAAAUUUGAAAUUGUGUUUUUUAUAUUGGAUAAAAGUAGAGACACAGAGCUACAAAAUUGUAUAUCAUACACUGCAUUUGAGUAACAAUGAGAAAGUAAUUCUGCUUUGAAAGUUGAUCAACUUGUAACCUUACUUUUGAGAAAAUGGCCUUUGAAUGUUUUGGUACCUACUGGAGAGCUCUUCUUUGUCUACACCCAUUCAGCAUCGUUCACACCCUCUGUUUUUAUGUUAACCAGAGCGUUGGUGACUGCAACUGUGCUGCUGGCAACAAUUUACGCAUUUUUGCCAACGUUUACUGACUUCAGCCAUAUUCAACUGGAGUGUUGAGCAUUCGUAAAUGUGUCAGUUAUUCUGUAAUCUCGCACACUCAGACGAGAGUGCUCUGAAAUCGGAGUAGAUAGCGAGAGUGAAUUUACCAGCUACGUCUAUCAACAGUUGACACAUUCUAUUGAAAUGGUUACUUGCAUAGUGGAGUCUUUCGUUAAGACGUGUAGAUAGCUAGCUAGAUAAACAAUGAACCAUAAUCCCAACUCAUAACGUUACUACCCUGCAUGAAUCUGCAGGUAGUUUACCAACCAAUGUAGUAGUGACCCGCAACAUACGCCUGAUUUCCAGAAAGGAAUCACAUAUCUGAGAGACAUAAGAAAGAUCAGGAAAUGUAAUUUAUAUAUACUUCCAUAAUUUCUUUUCAACUGGUAUCGGGGACCUUCAGAUGAGUCUUGUGAGGCCUGUGGGCACCCUAGAGCAAAACAACCGACACCUUUAUACAGAGUGUUCAUAUUAGUGUGCAGCCCACACUGUUUGAAUGCUACAGACAGAAGUUACGAGAUCGGCUGUACUGACUUCAGAUGAGUCCCAGGCCUCUCGUGGGAGUCGGUGGAUUGAGAUGCAUCCAAUGAAAAAAAAAACAUAUAUCUCUAUCUUAAACUGACAUAUUUUUAUGGGGAUUUUUUAAAUUAUGCUAUUUACAUUUCCACAGGGCUGCGGACAUCAGCCUUUGGGUUUUUUAAAGUGCAAGCAAAUGUGGUGGAGCAAGAAACGUACAUUACAAAAAUCACAUACAAAUGCUUGUUAACAAUUCAUUUCUAGUUAAACUGUAAUGUUUUUACUUUAAUUAGAUUUAAAGGUUUCUAAAUGCAUUUACACAUUAUUGCUUUACAGCUGUUAUAUAUGGUGGAUAGCUGCUUUUACUUCAUCCCGGUUAUGUGAUUAAACCUCGAUUAUGCCUCA